GGCGCGGCGCGGCGCGGGCGCGGAGCGUGGGAAGAGCGGGCGGAGCUCUCGGAAGCCAAGUCCGCAGCGUUGCGCCUCCCGCGGGUGGCUGCGCCGCGGGGCCGAGGUUGCUGUGCUGCGCCGGAAGCCACCGGCCGCCCAGAGAAACAGCAAAUGACAGAGCAGAGGACAGCUGGCCCCAGCCAAACCUGUUGCUGCUGCAGUGCUUGUUAUGUCAGGAUAGUGGGGUCUCUGGACCCUUCCCCUCCCUUGCUGAGGCUCCUGGAUGCCCUCCUGCCAGGCUGUACAUUCUGCCUUUAGCCAGGGUGGUGUUGGUGUCAUGGCCCCAACUGCCAUCCAGCAGGGGAAGAAGAAUGCAACAGCCAGAUCAAGGCGUAGAACUCUCAGCUCCUCCAGCACUAUGUCUGCCUGCACACCGCCAUACUUCCCGCCAUGAUGACAAUGGACUACACCUCCAAAACUAGAACUCAAAGAGUACAGCUCCAUCUGUAAGUAGGUGACAACCUCUUGGCAACUCGAGCUCAGCUGAGGAUGAUGUGUGUGCAUCUAAGCUGGUUAGAGCGGUCAGCUUACAUUUUUAUGGAACAGAAAAGAGGACCUGCUUGACCACUCUGCUUGCAGUAGAUGCUGAUAGAUGACAGGUCAUGCUGGAUGAAGUUGCUGAGGUGGGAUGGCCAGUAGGAUGCCAUGUUUAGAAAAGGAAAGACUUGGGUACUCAAUAUGGCCAAAGGUGGUUAUGUCUUAUGUCAAAUAUCAGCUCCUAGUGUCUCCUCUGUUUCCUGCUUGACUUGCCCUGUUCAAGAAUAUCUUCUGACUUUUCUUCACUCUUUUGGAUCUUUUACUCUCUGUGCUUUCCUACACCCCUCUUCUUCCCUUUGAUUUUUUUUUUCUUUAGGAUGAAUGAGGACAUUCUCAGUUACUGGUCCAAAGUAACUGUUCUUUCUGUUUUGUAUCUUCACCUUCAUUUAGCAAGGCAGGUAGAGGAGGUUGUCCUGGGAAGGGAGGUGGGUGGUGAAUAAGCUCAUGGUGUUGGGUGCUGGAGCAUGGUAAGUUAGAUCGUCUUUUCUUUCUUUAGGUAAUCUUGAGCCACCAAUUUGUGUGGUUCCGUGACCUCAGGUGUGGUCUGAUGCAACAUGGACCUAGUCUUGUUGGUGGAUUAAUAUCAGGCUAUUGAUUAGAAACUAGAAGCAACAAAGGAAAGGCUUGAGCUUGCCUCCCAUGUAGCUGGAGUGUGGCUGCUCCCUGGAUCUGUUCCUUGAAACUUUACCAUUGAGAACCUCCAACAGUUGUCCUUUUUUCCAUUCUUCCAUUCCUGAUUUUUCUAUGAAUGGAAUGAGUAACUGGCGGAGUCCUGGUAUAAGGUCAGCCUGCUCAACUAGCUAGGCUGUGAGAUAUUUGGGAGAUAUCUGGGUAGCACUGUAGACAGUGUGUGGCCGUACCAGGGCACCUUUGCUUCCUACAGUCAGAGAAAGGAAGCUUCUUUGCUGCUGACAUCUAACCUGAGCUUAUUCUGGGUUAUCGUUCCCCUUUCAAUCCCUAAGAUCCUGGGAGCUGCCCAGGGCUCAAGCAUGCUCUUUCCUGUGCAGAGUGUUUAUUUGCCUUACUCUGGACACACUGAGCCUUUAAGGGGCUUAGGCUAGGUCUGGGGUCUAAAGCUUAGGCUAAGGAGUGACUGGAUUCUGAAUUUUUCUCUACUUGGGAUUUUCCUUUGAAUGAAUCAUUUUCUUCUUUCGGCCUUCAGUUGUCUUCAGAAUAUCUCCAGGCACUUGACAGGGAAAAUCUUCUCCUGCUUUACCGCCAGAGCAGUAUUGAGUUAAAGUGAUGGUGUCCCUCAAAACUGGGAAGACAGCUCCAUUGCAGACACAAACCAGAAAGCAGACAGCAGGUGCUUGCUGGGAUACUCAGAAUUCCCUGUCUAUCAUUGCUGGCAGUGUUCUUGGCCCCUAGGGCUAGUGGGAACUAACUAACAGCCAGAUGUCUAGGGUCUAAGGAGAAAAGGAAUAAUCCUGGCUAAUUCUACUGGGUACCUGUGGAAUCUCAAUGCCAGCUAGCCCAUGCAGCUACUCUGCUGGCAUGGUGUAGAUGUGUUUCACCUUCCCUGCCCCUCCCACUACUGUCCAAGGAAGAUUAAUGAAUCCCAUCUCACAUGUUUAAUUGUCUUGUGUCUCCCUUUGGGACAAGCCUCUGAGAUCCCUGGCAAGAACAGUCAAUUUGGAUGAGUUAUCUGUUAUUUCAAGGAGCUGAACCAGUUCAUUUUACUGCCUCAGUGGUGUGUGAGGGUCAGCUGGGGGUGGGGGUAAAAGGGCUGAAGUUUGAAUAAAGAGUUAAGUUCAGUUGGCUUUACAGCUGGGAGGUGGAAAGGAAUAAACUUGGUUCUUAGAGAUGAGCCCCACUGGAAGCCAGAUGUGCUGCUAGCUAUGCCUCAGAACCUUAGGGCUUGUGCCCUACUGUGGUGACCUCUGCUACCAUUCACAGCCCUUCCUUUGCCUGAUUAGGAAAGUGAGUGGAGAGCAAAGACGAUCUUGGCUUUGCCCUGUGUCAUACAGCUGUCUCUCUGAAUUAGGGCUGUACCUCCCUGCCCAUUUCCUCUUUCAGACCCUUGUCUAAUGCCUUGCUCCUAGUCACUAACCUGGCUUCUGAUGUGUUACCAGCCAAGCAGGCAGGACAGUUAGCAUUCCUUGUAGGAUCUAAGCAUGCCUGACAUUUUUUCCUUGGCCUCUGAGUCUGUGAGUUCUGGAAGACAACUAUCAUACUGAAGCUGAGAUGACAUGACUGACCAUAGUAAAAUGCACGGUGCCCUACCCAUGGACCUGAUUGGUCCACACCAUCUGGGUUCCACUUCAUUUCAAUCUACGGAGGAUUGGAUCCACAGAUGCUGAAGUCCUUUUGUGAAAUGAGAUUUUCAUUUAAUUUAUACAUAUCCUCUCACAAACUUUAAAUCAUGCCCAGAUUUCUUAUAAUACCUAACUCAAAGCAAAUGCUGUUUUAAGAAUUCUUUAGAGGAUAGUGGCAAAAAGGUCUGCUUGUAAAGAUGUAAUUCAUAUUUAUAUAUAUACACGUAUUCAUGCACAAUGAUUGGAGUUGGGGGGGUGCAGAACCUGGGGAGAUGGGGAGCUGACUAUAGUCUGUGCAGUUACAUUGCUACAUUCUUGAAGUACAGGUCUUCUGGUAUCAGUGAAUGAGUGACUUUGAUUUGGAGUAUAAACAGACUGCCCACUGCAGGGACCUUUGUGUCUCUGGGGUUUGGCUAUCUAUGAACCCUGGCAGAGGUCAAUUUGACCUAUCAUAGGUACCUAAUUUGGGGUGGUGGUUGUUUAGGUAUGCAAAUCCUAAGCCUGAUUAGCUGUUAUUUCUUUUCAGCUCAAAUUCAGAUGGCCUUGGAUGUCUAAGACCACAUGCCAUUCUGCUAGAUGAGAAAGGCCAGAAUGGAUAGGCACAGAGAGGGAGGGACACUGCCUCUGGCCACUGGCUGCUCUCCAAAACAGUGCAGCGCAUAUACAUUGCAGCAUGUCCUCCAGUCUGUGUGCUGCCAGGCGUGUGCCCAGGUACUGUGGAGAACUACCACUAAGAGAUC
rnacentral:lncRNA from 1 species